rnacentral:rRNA from 1 species
AGCAGCCGCGGUAAUUCCAGCUCCAAUAGCGUAUAUUAAAGUUGUUGCAGUUAAAAAGCUCGUAGUUGAAUUUUAGGCCUGGCCGGGCGGUCCGUCUUUGGCGAGUACUGUCUGUUGUCGGGUCUUCCUUCUGGUGAACCAAUAUGUCCUUUAUUGGGUGUGCUGGGGAGCCAGGACCAUUACCUUGAAAAAAUUAGAGUGUUUAAAGCAGGCUUUUGCUUGAAUAGAUUAGCAUGGAAUAAUAGAAUAGGACGUUGUGGUUCUAUUUUGUUGGCUUCUAGGACCGCCGUAAUGAUUAAUAGGGAUAGUUGGGGGCAUUAGUAUUCAAUUGUCAGAGGUGAAAUUCUUGGAUUUAUUGAAGACUAACUAUUGCGAAAGCAUUUGCCAAGGAUGUUUUCAUUAAUCAAGAACGAAAGUUAGGGGAUCGAAGACGAUCAGAUACCGUCGUAGUCUUAACCAUAAACUAUGCCGACUAGGAAUCGGGCGACGUUAUUUUAAUGACUCGCUCGGCGCCUUAUGG